GGGGAUGUGCUGGAAUUGGCAGACAGGCAUGACUUAGGAUCAUGUGCCGCAAGGCGUAAGGGUUCAAGUCCCUUCAUCCCCA
rnacentral:tRNA from 1 species